rnacentral:rRNA from 1 species
AAGCAUGCGAAGAAAGGGCCGGGCAAGACCGGUGCCAGCCGCCGCGGUAAUACCGGCGGCUCGAGUGGUGGCCACUAUUACUGGGCUUAAAGCGUUCGUAGCUGGGUUGUUAAGUCUCUUGGGAAAUCUAUCGGCUUAACCGAUAGGCGUCCAAGGGAUACUGGCAAUCUAGGGACGGGAGAGGUGAGGGGUUACUUCAGGGGUAGGAGUGAAAUCUGUAU